rnacentral:rRNA from 1 species
UGAGGAAUAUUGGUCAAUGGACGAGAGUCUGAACCAGCCAAGUAGCGUGAAGGAUGACUGCCCUAUGGGUUGUAAACUUCUUUUAUACGGGAAUAAAGUGAGGUACGUGUGCCUUUUUGUAUGUACCGUAUGAAUAAGGAUCGGCUAACUCCGUGCCAGCAGCCGCGGUAAUACGGAGGAUCCGAGCGUUAUCCGGAUUUAUUGGGUUUAAAGGGAGCGUAGGCGGACGCUUAAGUCAGUUGUGAAAGUUUGCGGCUCAACCGUAAAAUUGCAGUUGAUACUGGGUGUCUUGAGUACAGUAGAGGCAGGCGGAAUUCGUGGUGUAGCGGUGAAAUGCUUAGAUAUCACGAAGAACUCCGAUUGCGAAGGCAGCUUGCUGGACUGUAACUGACGCUGAUGCUCGAAAGUGUGGGUAUCAAACAGGAUUAGAUACCCUGGUAGUCCACACAGUAAACGAUGAAUACUCGCUGUUUGCGAUAUACAGUAAGCGGCCAAGCGAAAGCGUUAAGUAUUCCACCUGGGGAGUACGCCGGCAACGGUGAAACUCAAAGGAAUUGACGGGGGCCCGCACAAGCGGAGGAACAUGUGGUUUAAUUCGAUGAUACGCGAGGAACCUUACCCGGGCUUGAAUUGCAACUGAAUGAUGUGGAGACAUGUCAGCCGCAAGGCAGUUGUGAAGGUGCUGCAUGGUUGUCGUCAGCUCGUGCCGUGAGGUGUCGGCUUAAGUGCCAUAACGAGCGCAACCCUUAUCGAUAGUUACCAUCAGGUUAUGCUGGGGACUCUGUCGAGACUGCCGUCGUAAGAUGUGAGGAAGGUGGGGAUGACGUCAAAUCAGCACGGCCCUUACGUCCGGGGCUACACACGUGUUACAAUGGGGGGUACAGAAGGCAGCUACACGGCGACGUGAUGCUAAUCCCGAAAGCCUCUCUCAGUUCGGAUUGGAGUCUGCAACCCGACUCCAUGAAGCUGGAUUCGCUAGUAAUCGCGCAUCAGCCACGGCGCGGUGAAUACGUUCCC